GAUGAAGAACGUAGCGAAAUGCGAUAAGUAAUGUGAAUUGCAGAAUUCAGUGAAUCAUCGAAUCUUUGAACGCACCUUGCACCCUUUGGCAUUCCGAAGGGUAUGCUCGUUUGAGUGUCAUUGUACUCUCACACUUCCGAUCUUUGGAUUGGGAGCGGUGGACUUGGGUGUUGCUGCUUACUGUGGCUCACCUCAAAUCGAUUCGUGCACCUCUUGGUUGGACAUAGUACGGCGUGAUAAGUGUCUUCGCCGGCACCUCAGUAGAGGGUGGCUGAUCGGGAGCUCUGCUUCAAACCGUCCUCGGACAACAACUGACAACUUGACCUCAAAUAGAGUAGGACUACCCGCUGAACUUAAGCAUAUCAAUAAGCGGAGGA
rnacentral:misc_RNA from 1 species